GACGAACGCUGGCGGCGUGCUUAACACAUGCAAGUCGAGCGGUAAGGCCCUCCGGGGUACGACGAGCGGCGAACGGGUGAGUAACACGUGGGUGACCUGCCCUUCACUUCGGGAUAAGCCCGGGAAACUGGGUCUAAUACCGGAUAUGACUUCCUGGUGCAUGCCGGGUGGUGGAAAGUCGGUGUUGUAAUGGCAUCGGCAGUGGGGGAGUGGGCCCGCGGUCUAUCAGCUUGUUGGUGGGGUGGAUGGCCUACCAAGGCGACGACGGAUAGCCGGCCUGAGAGGGUGGAUCGGCCACACUGGGACUGAGACACGGCCCAGACUCCUACGGGAGGCAGCAGUGGGGAAGUCUUGCGCAAUGGGCGGAAGCCUGACGCAGCAACGCCGCGUGGGGGAUGACGGCCUCGGUGUAAC
rnacentral:rRNA from 1 species